rnacentral:lncRNA from 1 species
UUCUUAUGACCUGGGUCAAGUCAUUUAACUCCUCUGGGUCUCAAUUUUCUCAUUUGUAAAGAAGGGGAAGUUGGAUUAGUUGGCCUUAGAAGUUCCUUCCAGAACCAGGACUUUUUCUUUCUUUCUUUCUUUCUUUCUUUCUUUCUUUCUUUCUUUCUUUCUUUCUUUCUUUCUUUCUUUCUUUCUUUCUUUCUUUCUUUCUUUCUUUCUUUCUUUCUUUCUUUCUUUCUUUCUUUCUUUCUUUCUUUCUUUCUUUCUUUCUUUCUUUCUUUCUUUCUUUCUUUCUUUCUUUCUUUCUUUCUUUCUUUCUUUCUCUCUUUCUUUCUCUCUUUCUUUCUCUCUUUCUUUCUCUCUUUCUUUCUCUCUUUCUUUCUCUCUUUCUUUCUUUCUUUCUUUCUUUCUUUCUUUCUCUCUUUCUUUCUUUCUUUCUUUCUUUCUCUCUUUCUUUCUUCUUUCUUUCUCUCUCUCUUUCUUUCUUUCUUUCUUUCUUUCUUUCUUUCUUCUUUCUCUCUCUCUCUCUCUUUCUCUCUCUCUCUUUCUCUCUGUCUGUCUGUCUGUCUGUCUGUCUCUGUGUCUCUCUGUCUCUUUGUGUCUGUCUGUCUGUCUGUCUCCACUCAAAGGCUUAUAGUAUUCCUUGACUCCACAUUCAAAUAAAGCUAGGCAGGAACUAGAAACGAAGUCCCAUUUGAAUGCAUCCUGGUUCUGGCUUGACAGACAAUCAAUCAUUCAGAGCUUUACCUUGUGGGUAGCAAAUUGGAAAUAGUCACAGAGGGUCUAUUGAUCCUCCAAAUCAGAAAGCAGAGUCCUUA